rnacentral:rRNA from 1 species
AUUGAACGCUGGCGGCAGGCCUAACACAUGCAAGUCGAACGGUAACAGGAAGCAGCUUGCUGCUUCGCUGACGAGUGGCGGACGGGUGAGUAAUGUCUGGGAAGCUGCCUGAUGGAGGGGGAUAACUACUGGAAACGGUAGCUAAUACCGCAUAAUGUCGCAAGACCAAAGAGGGGGACCUUCGGGCCUCUUGCCAUCGGAUGUGCCCAGAUGGGAUUAGCUUGUUGGUGGGGUAACGGCUCACCAAGGCGACGAUCCCUAGCUGGUCUGAGAGGAUGACCAGCCACACUGGAACUGAGACACGGUCCAGACUCCUACGGGAGGCGGCGGUGGGGAAUAUUGCACAAUGGGCGCAAGCCUGAUGCAGCCAUGCCGCGUGUAUGAAGAAGGCCUUCGAGUUGUAAAGUACGUUCAGCGGGGAGGAAGGGAGUAAAGUUAAUACCUUUGCUCAUUGACGUUACCCGCAGAAGAAGCACCGGCUAACUCCGUG